UACGGAGGGUGCUAGCGUUGUUCGGAAUUACUGGGCGUAAAGCGCGUGUAGGCGGCCCGCUAAGUCUGAUGUGAAAGCCCGGGGCUCACCCCCGGAAGUGCAUUGGAGACUGGCGGGCUAGAGUCCCGGAGAGGAGGGUGGAAUUCCUGGUGUAGCGGUGAAAUGCGUAGAUAUCAGGAGGAACACCGGUGGCGAAGGCGGCCCUCUGGACGGUGACUGACGCUGAGACGCGAAAGCGUGAGGAGCAAACAGG
rnacentral:rRNA from 1 species